UACUGGGAGACCGCAGAAGGAUCUGAGCAACACUGGUGCUUGGGCUCUCGUGGGAUCUCCCAGUGCUCUGGCCUGCAGGUGUCAAUCACUCAGAAGAAGGGAGAAGGCAGAGACGCGCUCCAGGAUGAGGCUCUCUGGGUCACCUCGCUCAGUGCUUCCUUGUUGGCCAGUCCGAUUUUUCCCACCUCGGACCUCAAAGGAGCUGUGGUUCCCGUGGGGGUGCAGAGCACGGUGUAGGAAGCGAAGAAGCACGGCCUCAGGAAAUCCAUUUCGCACCUGAAAAGCAGAGAGACAAAGAGACAGACGGAAAGAGAUCUUCCAUCUGCUGGCUCAUUUCUCAAGUGCCUGCGACAGGCAGGGCUGGACCGGGUUGAAACCAGGAGACUGGAGCUCAAGUUGGGCAGGCACUCAGCGACUGGCCUGUGGUCUCUCAGCAGGAGGCUGGAUUGGGAGUGGAGGAGCUGUGACUUGAAGCAGGCGCUGUCAUAUGUGGUGCAGGAAUUCCAACUGGUGACAUCGCAGCUGUGCCAAGCGUGUGCCCCCUGUUCGUGAGUUCUGAGCCGUGCACCAUCCGAGUGGCACAGUGAAGUCUCCGGCCAUCCUGCUCCAUCCUGCCUGGGACAUGGCUCACCCCUGGGGGUUCAGCGUAUCCACCAGUGGCCUGUUAGUCACUUAGUGGCUGUGCUGCUAUCUGACGGACUGUCGUGGUAUCCCAGGGCUUGUGCACAUGCCACCGUCACAUGACUUAGUGUAGCGUCCCCGCGGUGAACAGCAGUGAUGCUGGGAAGUCACAGCUUCAGCUAUGCCAAAGGGAAGCUGCAGAGUGGAAGUGUCUGAAGUGAAAGUCCUCAUUUUAAGGAAGGAAAAAAUAUUGUAUGCUGAGGUUGCUAGGAUCCACUGAAGGUAGUGUUGCUAAUCCCGUGCUGUACCUA